GAUGAACGCUGGCGGCGUGCCUAAUACAUGCAAGUCGAGCGAACAGACGAGGAGCUUGCUCCUUUGACGUUAGCGGAGGACGGGUGUGUAACACGUGGAUAACCUACCUAUAAGACUGGGAUAACCUCGGGAAACCGGAGCUAAUACCGGAUAAUAUAUUGAACCGCAUGGUUCGAUAGUGAGUGACGGUUUUGCUGUCACUUAUAGAUGGAUCCGAGCCGCUUUGGCUAGUUGGUAAGGUAACGGCCUACCAAGGCAACGAUGCGUAGCCGACGUGACGGGGUGAUCGGCCACCCUGGAACUGAGACGCGGUCCAGGCUCCUACGGGAGGCAGCAGUAGGGAAUCUUCCGCAAUGGGCGAAAGCCUGACGGAGCAACGCCGCGUGAGUGAUGAAGGUCUUCGGAUCGUAAAACUCUGUUAUUAGUGAAGAACAAAUGUGUAAGUAACUAUGCACGUCUUGACGGUACCUAAUCAGAAAGCCACGGCUAACUACGUG
rnacentral:rRNA from 1 species